ensembl:lncRNA LINC01435 long intergenic non-protein coding RNA 1435
UCUUAUGCCCAUGUCUGGAACUGGAGUGGGAUCGGCCACAUUGAAAGAACACAGCCUGAGGGCAGGGAAGCUAUUGAGCCCCAGAGAGAAGUUAAAGUACUUUUCAUGAAAGUGAAGAACUCACUGCUAUAUUCAGUGCCAAGUAAACCAUCAAACCAUUCCCAUAAACCAUGCUCACAUGGUUCUGCUGCCUCAGAGGCGGCUAGUUCCAGGAAUAUCAAAAGAAACUACAUCCUUUAACACUGCUGCUUCUCAAGAUUGGUUACUUGCACUACAGCAAAUUUACAACCAGCAAAAUAGACUAGAAACAAGCUACUUGUUGAUGAAGGAUCUGGACCAAGAUAGGAUUAGUGAAUAUCUCAAGAACAAUCAAGAAUGUAAGAAAAUAUCAUUGUCUGUUAAGACCCCAUCGCAGAGAAGUUAAAGAGCUUCAAUCACCAUGCUUUCAGGGUCAAUUUGUCUCCGAAAAGGAACAGAUGGGGAAGAAUUAUUCCAUUCACAGUUGACUUGUCAGAAAUUCCAAGAUCUUGGACUGGCUGAAAGCAAUGAUGUUGCCAUUCAUCCUUUCACGUAUUCAUUAUGGUCUACAGCUGAGAAGGGCUAUUUGGGGUUUGCUUUGCCUGAUGGUAGCAGAAGAAAACCAAGAGGCCUCUCUACGAAAGCUUGCAGUAAGGAGAAAGUUCUGGAGACUGGGAAGAGCAACACAAAGAUAUUCAGUUGCUUGGUGAGAGCUGCUCUCUGCUUCCAAGGCGGCACCUUGUUGCUGCAUUCUCCAAUGGGAAGGAACGCUGGGUCCUC